AUGAUCUGAGCCACAGUCAGCUCCUGAUCUUGUUUUUGCUGACUGUAUAGAGCUUCUCCAUCUUUGGCUGCAAAGAAUAUAAUCAAUCUGACUUCGGUAUUGACCAUCUGGUAAUGUCCAUGCAUAAAGUCUUCUUUUGUGUCGUUGGAAGAGGGCCAGAAUAAUCCAUUCUAUAAGGCAGUGAGUUCUUUGAACAGCCCCCUCCCCCCAACCUCAUGCAGGCGCUGCCAGAUGGCAGGCUGUGUGGUGAUGUUGCUUAUUUUUCUCUGCCUCCUGUCCUGUUAGAUAAAUGCCAUCGCCCCCUGUAUAGCACAGUGCCAUGAACUAUGCCUGGGGAUCUUCCCUGGCCUUUUACUUGAACUUGGUAGCUGUAUCAGUAGGCUCAAUGGGAGUCCAUGUUCUCCUCAAGAACGUUUCCUGAACUGAGGGCUGUUGGCUGGCAUUGUUUUGUUAUGCUUUGGUCUCCUUUGUUUUAGCAGUUGUACUGAAGGAGGUGUUUUGUCCAUUUCAUGGUCAAUUACUGCAACAUUGUUCUUUUGCUCUCCUCACUUUCUCAGGGAUUUGAUCUUAGCAUCCUCACCAGGCCUUGUUAGGGCUUCCCAGGUGGUUCAGUGGGAAAAGAAUAGGCCUACCAAUGCAGGAGAUGCAGGCUUGAUCCCUGGGUGGGAAAGAUCUCCUGGAGGAGAAAAUGACAACCUACUCCAGUAUUCUUGCCUGGGAAAUCCCAUGGACAGAGGUGCCUGGCAGGAUACAGUCCAUGGGGUCCCAAAAGAGUGGGACAUGACAGAGCACCCACAUAGGCACGCUUUAUUAGGAACAGUCAGACCUUAAUUCCCCAUAGCUUGUGCCCUCCUAACUUCACAAGAUGAGUUGCUAAGGUCUCCAAAUUAUUACCUGGCUUUUCCACCUCCUCUGCCAGCCCUGAAGCUAGCAGAGCCAGGGACACUGCACAUCCUUUUAUAUCCUCAGCUCUUCUUCCAAUUUUGUAAGCUGCGCUUCAGCCUCCAGCUGGGCGUCGGGGCUCAGCUCUGCCCACAGUAGAGAUCAGCCCACUGCGGCAGCUGUUUAUUUCCCUCUUGGCUGCAGUGCGGCCCUGCGCAGUUCCUCAAACAUUUCCAGGCAUUCUCAGACUCACUCGGUGGCCCACAAACAUCUAACAUAAGGGCCACCCUUGUCUACAUAGAAGUCAGUGGCCAACUCAGCUCCCCUGCCCUCCACGUCCCCAGGAGGCCGCUUUCCCGUUUCUCCGGUGCCCUGGCUGCCUCACUAACUGUUGAUUAACAACCUUGAAAUAUCCUGGGUGAAAUCUGAAACUCGCCCCAUUCAUGGAGUCAGGAAACACUGAAGAAAGAGAUCACUUGAAAUCAGUAGGUAGCAGGAUUAACAAGCAACGAAACUUAUGUAGGACAGUAGUCUCCUCUGCUGCAAGUUAUCCAUAGAUCGCCCCACCCGACCGUCAAAUUUUGAAAGUUUAUGUAGAGGCCUUAACUGGAUUCAGUCACUUAUGCAGUCCAGAUGGUCUCAGCACCAGAGCGCUCUUUCAAGCUUAAGUUCUCUUAAGCUUGGCUCUGGCUGUGGGAAGAGUGGGCCGAAGGUAGAUUCCAAGAACAGGGAGGGGCUGCGGAACCUCAGAAGGUUUAGUUUCAGCUCAUAGAUCACAUCCUCUGCAUAACCUCCGCCCACUCUGGGCUCUGAUCUAAACAAGGAACUUGGCUUGCUCUGCAGAGAUGCUCAGGCUCAAAUUGAAGCCAGAGGCAGAGGUGCAAAUGCUGGUGAGGGAGACAGUAGGUGUGUACAUGUUUGUGAUCUGUGUGUGUGCUUAGUCUUGUCCAACUCUUUGUGACCCUAUGGACUGACUGUAGCCCACCAGGUUCCUCUGUCCAUGGGAUUUUCCCAGCAAGAAUACUGGCGUGGGUUGCAUUUCCUCCUCCAGGAGAUCUUCCUGACCUAGGGAUGGAACCACCAUCUCUUGCCUCUCCUGCAUUAGCUGAGCCACCAGAGAAGCCCUGUUUGUGGUCUGGAGCCUCAUGAACUUCAGCUUCCACACUCUUCCUCUGAUUCCUCUUCCCAGAGACCUUCUAAAGGUUCUUGGAGCCAAGACGAGAGAACACUGGUUUGUAACAGAGCCGAUGGGGAGCACAUCCCACAGGCAUCUGGAGCUGAUGAAUUCUGCAUUGCACCUGAAGCACCCCGGAGAACAAGGUUGGGCUUGUAAAGAGGGACGCAGAAACUCAGUCUGGAGAGCAAGUCAGUUUGUUGGAUUUGGACCAAAUUAAUUUCUUGAGUUGUUGAUAUUGAAGCUUCGAUCAGUCCCU